rnacentral:rRNA from 1 species
GAUGAACGCUGGCGGCGUGCCUAAUACAUGCAAGUCGAGCGAACAGACGAGGAGCUUGCUCCUCUGACGUUAGCGGCGGACGGGUGAGUAACACGUGGAUAACCUACCUAUAAGACUGGGAUAACUUCGGGAAACCGGAGCUAAUACCGGAUAAUAUAUUGAACCUCAUGGUUCAAUAGUGAAAGACGGUUUUGCUGUCACUUAUAGAUGUAUCCGCGCCGCAUUAGCUAGUUGGUAAGGUAACGGCUUACCAAGGCGACGAUGCGUAGCCGACCUGAGAGGGUGAUGGGACACACUGGAACUGAGACAAGAUACAGACUCCUACGGGAGGCAGCAGUAGGGAAUCUUCCGACAUGGGCGAAAGCCUGACGGAGCAACGCCGCGUGAGUGAUGAAGGUCUUCGGAUCGGAAAACUCUGUUAUUAGGGAAGAACAAAUGUGUAAGUAACUAUGCACGUCUUGACGGUACCUAGUCAGAAAGCCACGGCUCACUACGUG